GGGACAUUGGCUCAGUCGGUAGAGCGUUGGUCUCAUAAAAUGAUCUGAUCGGUCAACAUCAGAGUAAUCCAAAGGUCGUGAGUUCGAUCCUCACAUGUCCCA